rnacentral:ncRNA from 2 species
CCAUCAAGGGCGCGCAAUGGUUCCUGUGGCGACGCAGGCUAAGAGGGAAUGCGCCAAGGCCCCGCCGACCGGAUCGGUCCCAAGGCCCCAAGCGCAGCCGCCCCCGCGACCGUGACCGGAGAGCCUCUCCACCGCCACUGGCCCCCGGGCCGGGAAGGCCGGAGAAGCGAGGGCCAGACCCGCAUCCGCAAGCCGGGAGACCUGCCAUGCGAGAUAACCGAAG